GGCAGGCUCGGCCCAGUUGGAGACUUAGUGACUGGGCAGCCCACUCAGAACGCCAGACACACCACUGUACAGCGAUCACUGCACGGCCACAGCACCUUUAGAGCAUUGCUGCACGCUAGGAAUGUUGCCUGGCCAGCCCCACUGGCCAUGAUGUGGUUCAUGCAUCGCUGACGCUUCAGGUUUGCCCUCAGGGCGGGUGACAAGUGGACGCAGUUAUUAAUGCUGCGUUUAGUCGUCUAGUGCUGUGUGUCAGUUCUUUCGGCCAUGCCGGUGUGGCCACGCUGGACAGCGCUGUGUGCACUCUAACCGCGCCAUGUGGUGCUAGACUGCGCUUCAGUGCACACACGCCCCUGGCGCUCCGAGAGCAGCAGUACUGCAGUAGUGUAAGGCCCUUUGGCAGCCCGGUUCCGCCUCACCCUGUCCUAGUCGGCACCUCGAACGCAACCGUACAGCAAGCCAUGAAGGCUAUAGGACAUAACUGCAGUUUCACGUUUGGUUUGGGCUCAAGAAUGGGCCAUAUCCGGUUGCUUCCAUCGUUUGCGGAAGCUGACAGCCCGUCGUUCUACCUCAUGCGCUCAACGUUAAGCGCCGUGCCCUGGUCGCCAGUAUGCCUGCCCGUCGUGUAGGUUGUAUGCGUGCUCGUGUUGCAGCAGCCUCCACAGCAGGAGUGCAUCGGGUUGACAGCGACUGGAUGCUUGCGCACCCCACGUUUCUCGAGUUCGAUCGUUUUCGUUAUCUUCAUCGUCGAUCCAACGUCCUGCUGAAGGCCAUCACUUCUCAUCAUGCCGUGGAGCUCGAUGUUGGCCCUUGUGUCUGUGUGCACCUGCGGAUUGGCUCAAGUCGACCGUGUGUUUCAUUUCAACCAGCCUCUGCUGUCUAAAUGUUUGUCUUUGGUGGAACACCUUGCCUUAUGUGGCUAGCUGUCUGCAGUCCCAUAUGUAGUCAUGUCUUGGCAUUGGAUGGAGUUGCAUUUGCCUGAGCAUGCCACUGUUGUGACGUAAGCAGUGUUGCAAGGGAACCUCGUGCUUGCGACUGUAAUGGCACAGAGGAUAUUGCAGCUUUGACAGACCGG
rnacentral:lncRNA from 1 species